rnacentral:lncRNA from 1 species
AUUCUUUUGUCUUAAUUACAGGAAUAAGUGAUCCUGUCCAGAGGAUGCAAGAACCAUUUAAGUUUAUAUGCUCCUGUAGCUUUCUGCCACCGUAUUUUAAUAGCUUUCUGGGGCUAGAUAUGAAGAAGACAUUAUCUUUUGUCAUCCAUGAUUGUAUGCAACUGUGCACUGGCAUCAAGCAGCAACAAGUAAAGAGAAAAAAUAUCCUGCAGAAUUGAGGUAGCAGAGGUCCCCUGGAGCACAUGGACCCAUGAUGAUCAAGGCCUUGCUUACUCCGCAGUCCAGGUUUGCAACAAGAGCUGUGUCCUCCUUUCCAUAUAAUACUAUGCUAAAGAAGAUGACUCUUUCCCUACAAGACAGAUGCACCUUUCUAGUUACUGCAGAAAUUGCAAAUGCUCUGUUGGAAUAUUCUUAGAAGAACUGCAAAGUGAUACCAGCUGUGAGGAAUUUCUCUUCCCUUGCUUCUCAGAACAGCUCUUUCAAGGCAAAAAAGCUGGAAGGGGAGUAGUAGCUUGUGGAUUCCCGGAAAUAAUGGAAGAAGAAAAUAAUGAAAGGAGGAAAAAAAU